rnacentral:rRNA from 1 species
AUUGAACGCUGGCGGCAGGCCUAACACAUGCAAGUCGAGCGAGCGGCGGACGGGUGAGUAAUGCCUGGGAAUUGCCCAGUCGAGGGGAUAACAGGUGGAAACGACUGCUAAAACCGCAAACGGUUGGAGUGCCCAGGUGGGAUUGGCUAGUUGGGGAGGUAAUGGCUCAACAAGGCGACGAUCCCUAGCUGGUCUGAGAGGAUGAUCAGCCACACUGGAACUGGGACACGGUCCAGACUCCUACGGGAGGCAGCAGUGGGGAAUAUUGCACAAUGGGGGAAACCCUGAUGCAGCCAUGCCGCGUGUGUGAAGAAGGCCUUCGGGUUGUAAAGCACUUUCAGCGAGGAGGCGUUACUCGCAGAAGAAGCACCGGCUAACUCCGUGCCAGCCGCCGCGGUAAUAC